GAUGAACGCUGGCGGCGUGCCUAAUACAUGCAAGUCGAGCGAACAGACGAGGAGCUUGCUCCUUUGACGUUAGCGGCGGACGGGUGAGUAACACGUAGGUAACCUACCUAUAAGACUGGGAUAACUUCGGGAAACCGGAGCUAAUACCGGAUAAUAUUUCGAACCGCAUGGUUCGAUAGUGAAAGAUGGCUUUGCUAUCACUUAUAGAUGGAUCUGCGCCGUAUUAGCUAGUUGGUAAGGUAACGGCUUACCAAGGCAACGAUACGUAGCCGACCUGAGAGGCGGAUCGGCGGCACUGGAGCUGAGCCACGGUCCAGACUCCUACGGGAGGCAGCAGUAGGGAAUCUGCGGCAAUGGGGGAGAGCAUGACGCAGCAACGCCGCGUGAGUGAUGGAGGUCUUCGGAUCGUAAAAAUCUGUUAUUAGGGAAGAACAAACGUGUAAGUAACUGUGGACGUCUUGACGGUACCUAAUCAGAAAGCCACGGCUAACUACGUG
rnacentral:rRNA from 1 species